UGGGGAAUUUUGGACAAUGGGGGCAACCCUGAUCCAGCCAUGCCGCGUGAGUGAAGAAGGCCUUCGGGUUGUAAAGCUCUUUCAGCCGGAACGAAACGGUACGGGUUAACACCCUGUGCUACUGACGGUACCGGCAGAAGAAGCACCGGCUAACUACGUGCCAGCAGCCGCGGUAAUACGUAGGGUGCGAGCGUUAAUCGGAAUUACUGGGCGUAAAGCGUGCGCAGGCGGAUUGUUAAGCAAGACGUGAAAGCCCCGGGCUUAACCUGGGAAUGGCGUUUUGAACUGGCAGUCUAGAGUGCGUCAGAGGGGGGUGGAAUUCCACGUGUAGCAGUGAAAUGCGUAGAGAUGUGGAGGAACACCGAUGGCGAAGGCAGCCCCCUGGGAUGACACUGACGCUCAUGUACGAAAGCGUGGGUAGCAAACA
rnacentral:rRNA from 1 species